rnacentral:rRNA from 1 species
UGGGGAAUCAUGGUCAAUGGGCGAAAGCCUGAACCUGCGACGCCGCGUGAGUGAUGAAGGUCGUAAGAUCGUAAAACUCUUUUCAGGGAUCUUAAAGCCUGUCUGUCAACAACAGGCAGGUCUGACCCUCCCUGGAAGAAGCACCAGCCAACUACGUGCCAGCAGCUGCGGUAAUACGUAGGGGGCGAGCGUUAUUCGGAAUUACUGGGUGUAAAGGGUAUGUAGGCGGCCCUUCAAGUCGCGUGUCAAAGUCCAGUGCUCAACGCUGGGUGUGCACGCGAUACUGACGGGCUUGAGGGCUGGAGAGGUGAGCGGAAUUCCCAGUGUAGUCGUAAAAUACGUAGAGAUCGGGAGGAACACCAGCGGCGCAGGCGGCUCACUAGACAGUUUCUGACGCUAAGAUACGAAAGCGUGGGGAGCAAACA